AGGUUGUCUGGCUAAGUGAAAAGCUGUAUGUGGUCACUCAAAGACACCUGCUGAUGAAGAGGAAGCUGAAAUUGGAAAGGCUACAUUUCUUACUCAAAUUUGAGGUGAAGCAACCAUGGUACACAGAACAAAUGUUAAACCAUGACACUUGCUUGUACUAAGAAAGAUGUGAUAAGUCUGCUUGGGAGUGUAGUGUGGGCUCGGAAGCAACAGUGCAAACAAUGAAUCCGUGCAAAAGGAUGAAUCUGUCUCCUUUGUUGGAAAAGAAAAGCAUCCCUAGGCCAGAACUGUGGUGAUAAGACCUUGAAACCUGUUGACCAGUACCUGAAAGCAAACUUCUCCAAACAUAUUAGUGCAAUAUUCCAUGGCUGAUUUUCUGAUUACAGACAAACUAUUCUGUAUUGACUGUUUCUGCUCAUCCAGCUGUAAGGUAAGUUUCUAUAUCUAAGAAACAUUUUAGAGAGAAGUGUAACUCAUGCAAAAGCAGUGGGGCAGCUACACCUACUAUAAGUUAUUUGAGGGCAGAAAUAGGUGUUUUCAACAUUUUUUUCUAAAAUACUGAGGUGGGCGUAGGGCAUAAAUGUUCCAUUAUAGGAAAUUUAGUGGUUCUUAUGAAACAUGCUUCUUCCUCCAAAGAUAUGAACAAAAGAUAAGAUAGAUGAUAUAAUUUUAUCUGUUCGUUAUGUAUUGGCUUCUCAUGAGCAGUAAAAAAACAAAAACAAACAAAAAAGAGUGAAAUGUUCAUUCUUUAAACUACGAAAGGGUGUUAAAUGAAUUAACAAGCUAUGACCUGUGUUUUAAUUUUUUUUAAUAAUCUCAUUCUUACUAUUAUUAGCACA